rnacentral:misc_RNA from 1 species
GAAAUGCGAUACUUGGUGUGAAUUGCAGAAUCCCGUGAACCAUCGAGUCUUUGAACGCAAGUUGCGCCCGAAGCCAAUCCCAGGGAACAGUGAAGCUUCAUAGGGUCUUUCUGUCC